rnacentral:tRNA from 1 species
GCGGGUGUGGCGGAACUGGUAGACGCGCUGGAUUUAGGUUCCAGUGUCUUGCGACGUGGAGGUUCGAGUCCUCUCACCCGUACCA